GCAAGUCUACUUGAACUUCGGUUUGGGUGGCGGACGGGUGAGUAACGCGUAAAGAACUUGCCUCACAGUUAGGGACAACAUUUGGAAACGAAUGCUAAUACCUGAUAUUAUGAUUUUAGGGCAUCCUAAAAUUAUGAAAGCUAUAUGCGCUGUGAGAGAGCUUUGCGUCCCAUUAGCUAGUUGGAGGGGUAACGGCCCACCAAGGCGAUGAUCAGUAGCCGGUCUGAGAGGAUGAACGGCCACAUUGGGACUGAGACACGGCCCAGACUCCUACGGGAGGCAGCAGUGGGGAAUCUUCCGCAAUGGACGAAAGUCUGACGGAGCAACGCCGCGUGAGUGAUGACGGCCUUCGGGUUGUAAAGCUCUGUUAAUCGGGACGAAAGGCCUUCUUGCGAAUAGUGAGAAGGAUUGACGGUACCGGAAUAGAAAGCCACGGCUAACUACGUGCCAGCAGCCGCGGUAAUACGUAGGUGGCAAGCGUUGUCCGGAAUUAUUGGGCGUAAAGCGCGCGCAGGCGGAUCGGUCAGUCUGUCUUAAAAGUUCGGGGCUUAACCCCGUGAUGGGAUGGAAACUGCCAAUCUAGAGUAUCGGAGAGGAAAGUGGAAUUCCUAGUGUAGCGGUGAAAUGCGUAGAUAUUAGGAAGAACACCAGUGGCGAAGGCGACUUUCUGGACGAAAACUGACGCUGAGGCGCGAAAGCU
rnacentral:rRNA from 1 species